CGGUAAUACCAGCUCUCCGAGUGGUGUGGAUGUUUAUUGGGCCUAAAGCAUCCGUAGCUGGCCAAGUUAGUCCCCUGUUAAAUCCACCGAAUUAAUCGUUGGUAUGCGGGGGAUACUGCUCGGCUGGGGGACGAGAGAGGCCGACGGUAUUUUCGGGGUAGGGGUGAAAUCCUAUAAUCCCAGGAGGACCACCAGUGGCGAAGGCUGUCGG
rnacentral:rRNA from 1 species